UAAGGAGAAAAGACAUUCUUCAGUCUGUAGUUCACAAGGGGGAUGUUGUUGAUGUCAAGUAUGAAGAUGAAAGCUCUCCUGCUCUUAUUCUCAAGCUGAAUGCUACUGAAACGUCUAAAUCAGAUGGAGUCAGAGAAAAGGCAAAAGAGGUGUGCAAGCCGCCUGAAAGAGAGCAAUAAAAAGGAAAAUAAUAUUUAGUCCAGAAAACAGCCAACCAUCAAGUCCAGAAGAGAUUUAAAACAGUUGAAAAAAACAUAAAAUGACACGCUGUUGCUUAAAAAAAUAGAAGAAAAAACUAAGAAAAUGACACAAUACCUGUAAAUGACAUGAGAAAAGAAAUCAAAGCCUUGAGAGCAGAGAAUCAGCAACUAAAGGCCCUGAACUUUAAACUGCAAAUUGAGAUUAUUAACAGAAUUGCGGAGUUGCUGCCAGACAGCAGUGUAAACAAGCAUGCUGUGCCUAACA